UACGUGAGGGUGCAAGCGUUGUCCGGAAUUAUUGGGCGUAAAGGGCUCGUAGGCGGUUCGUCACGUCGGGAGUGAAAACUCGGGGCUUAACCCCGAGCCUGCUUCCGAUACGGGACAGACUAGAGGUAUGCAGGGGAGAAUGGAAUUCCUGGUGUAGCGGUGAAAUGCGCAGAUAUCAGGAGGAACACCGGUGGCGAAGGCGGUCUCUGGGCAUUACCUGACGCUGAGGAGCGAAAGUGUGGGGAGGCGAACAGG
rnacentral:rRNA from 1 species